rnacentral:rRNA from 1 species
UACAGAGGUCUCAAGCGUUGUUCGGAUUCAUUGGGCGUAAAGGGUGCGUAGGUGGCGGGGUAAGUCAGGUGUGAAAUCUCGGAGCUCAACUCCGAAACUGCACUUGAUACUGCCUUGCUCGAGUACUGGAGAGGAGAUUGGAAUUUACGGUGUAGCAGUGAAAUGCGUAGAUAUCAGGAGGAACACCGAUUGCGAAGGCAGCUCGCUGGGACGUAACUGACGCUGAGACGCGAAAGCGUGGGGAGCAAACAGG